rnacentral:rRNA from 1 species
AAAGGAAUUGACGGGGGCCCGCACAAGCAGUGGAGUAUGUGGUUUAAUUCGAAGCAACGCGAAGAACCUUACCAGGGCUUGACAUCCCGCGCAUAUACAAGAGAUUGUAGAAAUCCUUAGGGACGCGGAGACAGGUGGUGCAUGGUUGUCGUCAGCUCGUGUCGUGAGAUGUUGGGUUAAGUCCCGCAACGAGCGCAACCCCUGUUGUUAGUUGCCAUCAUUCAGUUGGGCACUCUAGCAAGACUGCCGGUGACAAAUCGGAGGAAGGUGGGGACGACGUCAAAUCAUCAUGCCCCUUAUGUCCUGGGCUACACACGUACUACAAUGGCUAAAACAGAGGGCAGCAAAGGAGCAAUCCGGAGCGAAUCCCCAAAAAUAGCCUCAGUUCGGAUUGUGGGCUGAAACCCGCCCGCAUGAAGUCGGAAUUGCUAGUAAUGGCAGGUCAGCAUACUGCCGUGAAUACGUUCCCGGGCCUUGUACACACCGCCCGU